rnacentral:lncRNA from 10 species
AGAAUUUGCCUGGAUCCCAUCAACUCACCACAGCCCUUCCUAUAUGCAACCUCAUGGAGACCAUGGACCCCUCUGCCAUCCCACCCAUCUUUGAACCAAUGCAAACUGUCUUCAGAACUCAUGCCCUUACAUAAACAGGCUCUACAGGCAGAUCACCUGAGGUUGAAAGGUGAAGCCACCUGGACUUCUGGGUCCAGUAGAGACUUGGAGAACUUUUCUGUCUUACAAAAGGAUUGUAAAAUGCACCAAUCAGCACUCUGUAGCUAGGAUUGUAAAACGCACCAGUGUUCUGUAGCUAGCUAGAGGUUUGUAAAAUGCACCAAUCAGUGCUCUGUAGCUAGCCAGAGGUUCGUAAAAUGCACCAAUCAGUGCUCUGUAAAAACACACCAAUCAGUGCUCCGUAGCUAGCUAGAGGUUUGUAAAAUGAACCAAUCAGCACUCUGUAAAAUGGACCAAUCAGUGCUCUGUAAAAUGGACCAAUCAGCACUCUGUAAAAUGGACCAAUCCACUCUGUAAAAUGGACCAAAUGGGAGGGGACAACUCAGGGAAUAAAAGCUGGCCACCCCAGCCCUCAGCGGUAACCUGCUUAAGUCCCCUUCCAGGCUGUGGGAGGUUUGUUCUUUCGUUCUCCACAAUAAAUCUUGCUGCUGCUCAGUCUUGGGGUCCGCAUCACCUGUAAGAGCUGUAACACUCACUGUGAAGGUCACGCUUCAUUCCUGAAAUCAGCGAGACCAUGAACCCACUGGAAGGAACAAACUCCGGACACAAGGGCAGGAGUUUGAGA